GGACCCGCACAAGCGGUGGAUGAUGUGGUUUAAUUCGAUGCAACGCGAAAAACCUUACCUACCCUUGACAUGUACGGAACUUGCCAGAGAUGGCUUGGUGCUCGAAAGAGAGCCGUAACACAGGUGCUGCAUGGCUGUCGUCAGCUCGUGUCGUGAGAUGUUGGUUAAGUCCCGCAACGAGCGCAACCCUUGUCAUUAGUUGCUACAUUUAGUUGGGCACUCUAAUGAGACUGCCGGUGACAAACCGGAGGAAGGUGGGGAUGACGUCAAGUCCUCAUGGCCUUAUGGGUAGGGCUACACACGUCAUACAAUGGCUGGUACAGAGAGCAGCCAAUGCGCGAGCAUGAGCAAA
rnacentral:rRNA from 1 species